rnacentral:sRNA from 12 species
AUGCGUCUGCGAAGGGCGAAGCGCGGUUUUGUAAAAAGGCUUUGCAGACAGCCGUGCCGUGUUCAGUCUUGUACAUUAAGCUAAAGCUUAAUUGAAAGCCGUUUC